AGAAGACACUCAACAACAACGCUCUUGAUGUUGGUUGUCUGGGAGCUAUGGAAUGAGAGAAACGCGAUAGUUUUCAGAAACAAAUCCACCGUGUCAUAGCUCAUCAUCGAUCACAUUAAGAAUGAGGCCAAGAAUUGGCUCUGGGCUAAGCAUUUGAGCUCUAUCAUGCCGCAUGAACAUGCUUUCUUUUUUCCGUAUGUGGAGGAGUGA
rnacentral:rRNA from 1 species